GCAGUCGAGCGUGAAUAAGUGGAGUGAGGACUUCGGUCUGAGUGAAACUUAUGAAAGCGGCGGACGGGUGAGUAACGCGUGGGCAACCUGCCUCAUACAAAGGGAUAGCCACUGGAAACGGUGAUUAAUACCUUAUAAGUCGGUAGCAUCGCAUGAUGUAGCCGACAAAGAUUUAUCGGUAUGAGAUGGGCCCGCGUCUGAUUAGCUAGUUGGUAAGGUAACGGCUUACCAAGGCGACGAUCAGUAGCCGACCUGAGAGGGUGAUCGGCCACACUGGAACUGAGACACGGUCCAGACUCCUACGGGAGGCAGCAGUGGGGAAUAUUGCACAAUGGGCGCAAGCCUGAUGCAGCAACGCCGCGUGAGUGAUGAAGGCCUUCGGGUUGUAAAACUCUGUCCUAUGGGAAGAAACAAAUGACGGUACCAUAGGAGGAAGCCCCGGCUAACUACGUGCCAGCAGC
rnacentral:rRNA from 1 species